rnacentral:rRNA from 1 species
UACGUAGGGGGCAAGCGUUGUCCGGAAUCAUUGGGCGUAAAGCGCGCGUAGGCGGCCCGGUCAGUCCGUUGUGAAAGUCAAAGGCUCAACCUUUGAAUGCCGACGGAUACUGUCGUGCUAGAGUGCGGAAGGGGCUACUGGAAUUCUCGGUGUAGCGGUGAAAUGCGUAGAUAUCGAGAGGAACACCUGCGGCGAAGGCGGGUAGCUGGGCCGACACUGACGCUGAGGCGCGAAAGCCAGGGGAGCGAACGGG